rnacentral:rRNA from 1 species
GACGAACGCUGGCGGCGUGCCUAACACAUGCAAGUCAACUUGACUGAAGGAGCAAUCUGACAGUAGAGUGGCGCAAGGGUGCGUAACGCGUAAGUAACUUGCCCAAGGUAAGGAAUAACGUCGAGAAAUCGGCGCUAAUACCUCAUAAUGCAGCGGAUCCGCAUGGAUAUGUUGUUAAAGGUUUACCGCCUUGGGAUAGGCUUGCGUCUGAUUAGCUAGUUGGUGUGGUAACGGCACACCAAGGCUACGAUCAGUAACUGGUCUGAGAGGAUGAUCAGUCACACUGGAACUGAGACACGGUCCAGACUCCUACGGGAGGCAGCAGUGAGGAAUAUUGGGCAAUGCUCGAAAGAGUGACCCAGCAACGCCGCGUGGAGGAUGAAGGUAUUCUAUAUCGUAAACUCCUGUGAGAGCAGACGAAAGACAGAUUAUUAAUCUGGAUGACUGUAUGCUCAGAGGAAGCCCCGGCUAA